UGUUUUGUAACUAAGCCUUCAAAAUUCAGCCUAGACAUACUUCAAGGGCUCAGUAGCCGGAAUUGGCUAGUGGUUAUAGUAGUUACAGUUUGUGGUGCCACACAGCCAAGUGUAGAGUAGAAACAGUUUGCUAAUUCAAGUCAAAACUCUUUGACUAAAUUAAUAGACUAUUUUGAAGGAAAGUACUCACUUCUGCAUACAUUUUUGACUCGUCAAUAAUCUGGAUUAUCCUGCCACUUGUCCCUAGGUUUAAACUGAGCUGAACACGAAUUCUAAGUAAAGAAGAAGGCUGUGAGCUUGAAACUGUGUGCUCUUUCUUAACCAUGGGAGCCCUGCUGAGCACAUUGGGAAAUGGCCAUUCUUAGGCCUGGUUUCACAACAUCACCAGGUCUUCCUAUGUUUCCAGCAUUGAGCGAGGCUCUGGAAUUGGGGAAGGAAUCACAAAAAUGCUCACGAUCUAGAGGCUAAGCUGGAGAAACAAACAAAAGUGCUGCAGACUGAUCAUUUCUGGAAGCAAGUUCUGCAUAAAGGGAAGAGUUGCUGCAACUCUGACAUCCCUUCACGUGGUGAGAAUGUUUAUAGGAGCCUGGAUGCCCUGGCAGCUUCCACAGGAGAGAGGUACAUGGUGACCCCAGUGUCAACAAAUGGAAUUCACACGGCAGAGAUGCUUGGACUUCAGAGGCCUGUCUCAGCUGGACUGGGCUCUAGCUCUGGCCAGAAGCUUGCCAGCCACAGGCCGACGGAGUAUAUCGCAUAGGGUCUGGAAUGGGGGGAGGCC